CGAAAGCCUGACGGAGCAAUACCGCGUGAGGGAGGAAGGCUCUUGGGUUGUAAACCUCUUUUCUCAGGGAAGAAAAAAAUGACGGUACCUGAGGAAUAAGCAUCGGCUAACUCCGUGCCAGCAGCCGCGGUAAUACGGAGGAUGCAAGCGUUAUCCGGAAUGAUUGGGCGUAAAGCGUCCGCAGGUGGCUGUGUAAGUCUGCUGUUAAAGAAUGAGGCUCAACCUCAUCAGAGCGGUGGAAACUACAUGGCUAGAGUGCGUUCGGGGUAGAGGGAAUUCCUGGUGUAGCGGUGAAAUGCGUAGAUAUCAGGAAGAACACCGGUGGCGAAAGCGCUCUACUAGGCCGCAACUGACACUGAGGGACGAAAGCUAGGGGAGCG
rnacentral:rRNA from 2 species